UUGUUGCCAUACUAGAUAUGGCAGUAAUGCAGUUAACACAUUAAGUGUACCGCCUGGGGAGUACGGUCGCAAGAUUAAAACUCAAAGGAAUAGACGGGGACCCGCACAAGCGGUGGAGCAUGUGGUUUAAUUCGACGAUACGCGAAGAACCUUACCUGGACUUGACAUAGUAAGAAUGUUUUAGAGAUAGAACAGUGUCUGCUUGCAGAAACUUGCAUACAGGUGCUGCACGGCUGUCGUCAGCUCGUGUCGUGAGAUGUUGGGUUAAGUCCCGCAACGAGCGCAACCCUCGUCGUUAGUUGCUAACAGUUCGGCUGAGAACUCUAACGAGACUGCCUGGGCAACCAGGAGGAAGGUGAGGACGACGUCAAGUCAUCAUGGCCCUUACGUCCAGGGCUACACACGUGCUACAAUGGGGUAUACAAAGAGCAGCGAUACGGUGACGUGGAGCAAAUCUUAAAAAUAUCUCCCAGUUCGGAUAGUAGUCUGCAACUCGACUACUUGAAGUUGGAAUCGCUAGUAAUCGUAGAUCAGCAAUGCUACGGUGAAUACGUUCCCGGGUCUUGUACUCACCGCCCGUCACACCAUGGGAGUUGAUUUCAUUCGAAGCGGGGAUGCUAAGAUAGCUACCUUCCACAGUGGAAUUAGCGACUGGGGUGAAGUCGUAACAAGGUAACCGUAGGAGAACCUGCGGCUGGAUCACCUCCUU
rnacentral:rRNA from 1 species